CUAAUUUAUUAGAGCGUCGCAAUGACUCUCGGCAACGGAUAUCUCGGCUCUCGCAUCGAUGAAGAACGUAGCGAAAUGCGAUACUUGGUGUGAAUUGCAGAAUCCCGUGAACCAUCGAGUCUUUGAACGCAAGUUGCGCCCGAAGCCUUUCGGCCGA
rnacentral:rRNA from 3 species